ensembl:lncRNA
CCUCCUCCCUUUCCUCAGCAUGAAGGAGAUGGAGCUGCUGGCAGAGCCUCCUCAGCAUCUGGCAGAACAUUCUGGCCCACUGCUGAGCGCCUCUCACUCCCCAGCUGUCCCUGGGGAUGGCCAGUGACUCAUGUUUCCAUUUUCAACACCGGGCCAGGGACCAGAUCUUUCCAUGACCACCAGGGCGGGACAUAUGGCGUUGGACCCAAGGACAGGAGCUGUGACAUCAGACAGGCAAAAUUUGGAUGGCAGAUGCCCUGAAGGCCAGAGAGGAAAUAAACAUUGAUUCCACAAAUAAAUCCGGGGAUUUCGGCUAUCCAGAUGGGGAAAACAAUACCCUUAGCACAUAAAAGAUCAAUUCCAGGUCCCGCCGCAGGAGAAUGGAUAAACUGGAACGCGACAUCCACAUACGAAGGGGUGAGAACGAGUAAUCUACGCUUGCACACAUCCCUGCGGCUGAAUCUCGCAAAGAUCAUACAUGAAAGAAGCAAGCUGGAAAACAAGGCACUUCAAUGAUAUCAAGGCUUUGGUUUUUUUGUUGUGAGGCACUAGCUCCUGAUCUGGGAUCAAAGCCUGCGUUGGAAGGGGAAGUCUGAACCAGUGGACAACCAGUGAAAAGAAAGUGAAAGCGAAAAUCGCUUUCAUGUCCGACUCUUUGGGACCCCAUGCGUGGAAUUCUCCAAGCCAGAAUACUGGAGUGGGAAGCCUAUCCCUUCUCCAAGGGAUCUUCCCAACCCAGGGACCGAAGCGGGGUCUUCUACAUUGCAGGCAGAUUCUUUACCAACUGAGCUAUCAGGAAAGCCGGACUGCCAGGGAAGCCCCUAAAGUUGUCUUUAGGUAUUCGUAGCAAAUUCCUUUCAACCACACCUGGGUUUAUGUUAAUGAGGUGACUCGGAAAGCCUCUAAGGAUGAAAGCUGUUUGACAGGGGAACCAACUACGUGAUUGGAGGGGUGUAACUUAGCUGUCUCCCUGAACUCCAGGAAGGCGAGAGGGGCUGGAGAUUGAGUUCAAUUACUAAUGGCCAAUGAUUUAAUCCAUAGUGCUUAUGUAAUUAAUGAAGCAUCUGUAAGAACUCAAAACGAUGAGGUUCAGAGAGUUUCCAGGUUGGUAAGCACGUGGAGGUGCUGGCAGAGUGGUUCCUUGGAGAAGGCAUGCAAGCCCCUUCCACAUACCUCGUCCCGAGUACUUCAUCUGACUCUCAUCUGCAUCCUUUAUAAUACCCUUUAUAAUAAACUGGUGAACCGAGAGCCACUCUAGUAAGUUAAUUGAACCCAAAGAGGGGCUCAUGGGAAUCUCCCCUUGCUGGCCACUCAGAAGCACAGGUGACAACCUGGACUUGAGAAUGGCAUCGAAGGGGGGCAGUGGGCACUUAGCUUGUGGGAUUUAAUGCUAUCUCCAGGUAGACAGUGUCAGAAUGGAGUGAAUUGCUCGGAGGUGUCAGAAAACACACGCUGGAUGGAGAACUGAUGACAAGGCGGGCCUGGCCACAGGGAGCUGGAGAAAUGACAAGAAGCCUUCUGUCUAAAAGAUCUAUUCUUACCCAGCUGAGGGACUUAGACUCAGUCCUUUGCAAACUGGGGGGCCAUGCAGGUGUUUGAACAGGGAAUGGAGGUAGUCGAUUUGUCUCUUGAAUUAUGAUUAAUGCACCAUUAAAAUAGCCCCUUUGAUGACAUCAUAAACCAGGAAACUUAGAGCACAAACCACAAGCAGAUUAGAUAAAGGGCAGGUACAAUCCAAACUCAGACAAAUCCACGUCUGAAUCCUGCUCCCCUUCUCACCUGCUGGGGUGAGUCACCUGGCUCUCUGAGCCAUGCUUGCUCUUCUGGAGUGGGGCUGACGUGAAACACCGCCCGUGGAGGCCCUGAGCAUAGAUCUGUAUCCACCUGAAAAGAAACCUCCCAGAUAGAUUAUCAGUCCAAAAGUGAAGUGGCAGAAGAAUAUGUAUGAGACAAAUACAAGCCAAAAUGCCGAGAAAAAAGUUAGCAAGAUUCACACCAAAUUGAAAACAGCGAUUCCUUCUAGAGAGGUAGAAGAAAACCAAGACUGGAGUUAGAGAUCAAAGGAAGAUUUAGCCUUAUCUGUAAAGUUUUAUUUUCUUUUUUUUACACGGAAAAUGUAUUCCUAUACUACUUGUGUAUUUAAAAAUUAAUUUUAAAAUAACCUAACAAAAGUCCUUGACAGUGAGAAGAUAUUUGAUCAGUGUUCCCUCCUGCUUGCUCUCACAGUGAGAUUUGGGGCCUUUCCAGCCCCAUUUCCCAAUUCCAACCUUAGGUGAAGGCCGGCCUGUC